rnacentral:lncRNA from 1 species
GGGUCAUUGUUGUGGUGUCAUGGCCGCCAUCGGGGUGUCAUGGCCGCCGUUGAGGUGUCAUGGCUGCCGUGGUCAUCGCUGUGGUGUCAUGGCCGCCAGGGUGUCAUGGCCGCCAUCGAGGUGUCAUGGCUGCUGUCGAGGUGUCAUGGCCGCCGAGGUGUCAUGGCUGCCGCUGAGGUGUCAUGGCCGCCGUCGGGGUGUCAUGGCUGCCGGGGUGUCAUGGCUGCCUUGGUGGUGUCAUGGCCGCCGGGGUGUCAUGGCCGCCAUCGAGGUGUCAUGGCCGCCAUUGAGGUGUCAUGGCCGCCUUGGUGGUGUCAGCGCUGCCUUUGGGGUCGUCACGGUGAGCACCACGAUGACGUCACACCAACCACGAUGACGUCACACCAACCACGAUGACGUCACACCAACCUCAUUGACCUCUCACCAACCACGGUGAUGACCAUGGUGAUGACCACGGCGAUCACCACGAUGACCUCACACCAACAACGAUGACCCAACGCCAACCACGAUGACUUCUCACCAACAUCGUUGACCUCUUGCCAACCAUGGUGAUGACCAUGAUGACCUCUCGCCAACCACGAUGACCCAACACCAACCACGAUGACCUCUUGCCAACUGCGUUGACCUCUUGCCAACCAUGGUGAUGACCUCUUGCCAACCACGUUGACUUCUCACCAACAUCGUUGACCUCUUGCCAACCAUGGUGAUGACCACGAUGACCUCUUGCCAACACCGAUGACCCAACACCAACAACGAUGACCUCUUGCCAACCAUGGUGAUGACACCAUGCCAACCACAUUGACUUCUCACCAACAUUGUUGACCUCUUGCUAACCAUGGUGAUGACCACGGUGACCUCUUGCCAACGCCGAUGACCCAGCACCAACAACGAUGACCUCUUGCCAACCAUGGUGAUGACCAUGGUGAUGACCACGACGACCUCUUGCCAAAGACAUUGAUGACCUCUUGCCAACGAUGAUGACCCAACACCACCACGUUGACCUCUUGCCAACCACGUUGACUUCUCCCCAACGCCGCUGCCUCCUCGCCCACCAGAAGGCCCACCACCAGGCCCACCAGAAGGCCCACCAGAAGGCCCACCACCAGGCCCACCAGAAGGCCCACCAUCAGGCCCACCAUCAGGCCCACCACCAGGCCCACCAGAAGGCCCACCACCAGGCCCACCAGAAGGCCCACCAGAAGGCCCACCACCAGGCCCACCACCAGGCCCACCACCAGGCCCACCACCGGGCCCACCACGCGGUGGCCUAGUUGAGCGUGCCGCGGCAGCUCUCGGUGCGGCACAGGCAGGGGAUUUUGGUGUCCUCGAUGGGGAACUUGUAGUCGUAGGUGAUCUCCUCGUUGACCCCGAUGGGCUGCUUCGAGUAGAUGACGAUCUUCUUCUGCGCCUCGAUGGUGAUCACCUUGGCGUAGCAGUUGGGCUG